CUCGGCCCUUCCACGGUUGUCCAGACAAUAUUGAGAAGCGCUCGGGGUCAGGACUCACCACACAAAUGCUUAAACACACGCUUUCUCUCCCAGCCAGAGCACCUGGAAACUCAAGGAUGACAGAAACGAGAGAAGGAGAAGGUGCUCUAACCUUGACAUGCCGGAGCCCACACUUCCAGCUCCCUUCUCCAUCCAGAUAAGACCUAGGAUCUGAAGAAGAACCCUUUUCUCUAUGAAGGCUAAGAACUUAAAAGGAAACACAGGAUGGCAUUUUCCUGAUCCCAAACUGAAAUGAGAGGACUGUCAAUUGGAUCAUCCACCCUGCCAAGACCACUUCUGGAGUUGCUGUUCUGAGCCACCUAGACGAACGCACAGGCCAGCCCCCGGAACCUGCUCUUCAUUUGCCUUCCAUGCCCAACUUGAACCAGUGAUUUGUUAUGCUUUUUCUUCUCGUUGUAAGUAAAUAUUCACUUGGUACCUAAUUUUGCUUUUGUGAUUUUGUGUUUCUUCUCAUCAAGAGGGCCUCCAUAUUAUAUAAGCUUCCAUCCCCACAAAGUUGGAUCUGCUCUGUCAUACGUCUGCUCGUGUAGUGCACAUUCUUAGUGUGCAUACUUACACAGGAAAUCUCAAUUCCUGAGCGUCCUGAUAACUAUGAUUCUUAGUUAACCAGAAUGUUCUCUGCAUAAUGCUCUUAGAAGCAAGUAAUGAAAUUA
rnacentral:lncRNA from 1 species